AGACGAGAUCAAAGUCAAAACUUAAUGAAACCGAAAAAAGAAUGAACAAUACUGAAAAGGAGUUCCAGAAAUUGAAAGACAUCUGCCAGGAGGAAGAGAUGGAGAGUCUGAGAUCGAAGCUUACUGAUUGGGAACAAGAUUUGAAUAUGAAAGACAUUACGAUAGAGAAGCUCACUGUUACUGAUAGUGAUAAAGGUGAGUGAACAAAUAGCGCUGCAAGUUUAAUUUCAGCCUUUCUCAGUCUGAACUCUAUUUUAUUCUACAGCAUCGAUAAUAUAUAUUAACCAGUUAUUUUAGUGGAAUUAUAUCUUCUUUCUCACUAAUUCAAUGACACAUAUAUCUUCAGUUAGACAUCUGUCUAAAGUAGGUAGCACAUUUUAGCAACAUAAUUCUGCUAUGGCAUUAAACACAACUUUUCGUCAUCCACCCUUUCGAUUCUCACUCUGAGACGAUGCUUCUGCAAACUUCUUGAGCAAUGUCGCAUUUCGAGCAACUCACUGAUUCACUGAUAUAAUGAUAAAACAUACUUUAUCGUCACAAAUACGCAGAUACAGUGAAAUACUUUGAUUUACAUACAACCCGGUAAAAUCAAAUGGACAAUCUCAACUAGGCAGUAGAAAAGACAUCAUGUUUCUGGCGUCGACAAAUUUGCAAGUGUUCACCGAGUAGCAGUAUCUUCUGCCUUCCACCGCACGUGUCAGCUUGCGAACCCCGCCGGGCCCCCUUUGGUU